CGGGACGGGUGAGUAAUGUCUGGGAAACUAGCCUGAUGGAGGGGGAUAACUACUGGAAACGGUAGCUAAUACCGCAUAACGUCGCAAGACCAAAGAGGGGGACCUUCGGGCCUCUUGCCAUCGGAUGUGCCCAGAUGGGAUUAGCUAGUAGGUGGGGUAACGGCUCACCUAGACGACGAUCCCUAGCUGGUCUGAGAGGAUGACCAGCCACACUGGAACUGAGACACGGUCCAG
rnacentral:rRNA from 1 species